ACUAGGAAAAGAAUCAGAGGCGGGGAGAUUCAGCCAGUGACAUGUUGCCUGAUGGUGAGCGAGCAAGCGAGUGUUGUUGAUAUAUAUCCUCAGUGUUCUGUUCUUGAAGUAUAUCCUGAAACACCACGACUGACAGCUUCCUGUCAUUGAGGCAAAGUCCUGAUCUUGUCACUCAUGCCGGAAGCCCAGGCCUGCAGGCAUUUGUCAUCCAUGCACAAGGGUGACAGGAUUACCCACUUGCUGUGCAUAAACAAGGUCUCUCUCAAGUCUCUUUCCUCUCACAGGCAGUAGAAAAUGAAGGCACCUCCAGAUCUUCACAUCUCAAACCAUGUUGCUGAACUCAUCCCAUUUGCCAGCUGAGUCCUCCCCCUAGGCGCUCCUCUGUCAGGCAGUCUGAUAUACAGCUGUUAAAAAGGAGUGAUUAUGGUUUGAGUGCACUGGUGAGUGAGGGCUCU